GACGAACGCUGGCGGCGUGCUUAACACAUGUAAGUCGAACGGAAAGGCCCUGCUUUUGUGGGGUGCUCGAGUGGCGAACGGGUGAGUAACACGUGAGUAACCUGCCCUUGACUUUGGGAUAACUUCAGGAAACUGGGGCUAAUACCGGAUAGGAGCUCCUGCUGCAUGGUGGGGGUUGGAAAGUUUCGGCGGUUGGGGAUGGACUCGCGGCUUAUCAGCUUGUUGGUGGGGUAGUGGCUUACCAAGGCUUUGACGGGUAGCCGGCCUGAGAGGGUGACCGGCCACAUUGGGACUGAGAUACGGCCCAGACUCCUACGGGAGGCAGCAGUGGGGAAUAUUGCACAAUGGGCGGAAGCCUGAUGCAGCAACGCCGCGUGCGGGAUGACGGCCUUCGGGUUGUAAACCGCUUUCGCCUGUGACGAAGCGUGAGUGACGGUAAUGGGUAAAGAAGCACCGGCUAACUACGCG
rnacentral:rRNA from 1 species